rnacentral:rRNA from 1 species
AGAGUUUGAUCCUGGCUCAGAACGAACGCUGGCGGCGUGCCUAACACAUGCAAGUCGAACGGCAGCGCGGGGCAACCUGGCGGCGAGUGGCGAACGGGUGAGUAAUAUAUCGGAACGUACCCAAGAGUGGGGGAUAACGUAGCGAAAGUUACGCUAAUACCGCAUACGAUCUAAGGAUGAAAGCAGGGGAUCUUCGGACCUUGUGCUCCUGGAGCGGCCGAUAUCUGAUUAGCUAGUUGGUGAGGUAAAGGCUCACCAAGGCCACGAUCAGUAGCUGGUCUGAGAGGACGACCAGCCACACUGGAACUGAGACACGGUCCAGACUCCUACGGGAGGCAGCAGUGGGGAAUUUUGGACAAUGGGCGAAAGCCUGAUCCAGCAAUGCCGCGUGAGUGAAGAAGGCCUUCGGGUUGUAAAGCUCUUUUGUCAGGGAAGAAACGGUGAAGGCUAAUAUCCUUCGCUAAUGACGGUACCUGAAGAAUAAGCACCGGCUAACUCCGUGCCAGCAGCCGCGGUAAUACGGAGGAUCCAAGCGUUAUCCGGAAUCAUUGGGUUUAAAGGGUCCGUAGGCGGUUUGGUAAGUCAGUGGUGAAAGCCCGCAGCUCAACUGUGGAACGGCCAUUGAUACUGCCAGACUUGAAUUACAAGGAAGUAACUAGAAUAUGUAGUGUAGCGGUGAAAUGCUUAGAUAUUACAUGGAAUACCAAUUGCGAAGGCAGGUUACUACUUGUGGAUUGACGCUGAUGGACGAAAGCGUGGGGAGCGAACAGGAUUAGAUACCCUGGUAGUCC